AUUGAACGCUGGCGGCAGGCCUAACACAUGCAAGUCGAACGGUAACAGGAAGCAGCUUGCUGCUUUGCUGACGAGUGGCGGACGGGUGAGUAAUGUCUGGAAACUGCCUGAUGGAGGGGGAUAACUACUGGAAACGGUAGCUAAUACCGCAUAACGUCGCAAGACCAAAGAGGGGGACCUUCGGGCCUCUUGCCAUCGGAUGUGCCCAGAUGGGAUUAGCUAGUAGGUGGGGUAACGGCUCACCUAGGCGACGAUCCCUAGCUGGUCUGAGAGGAUGACCAGCCACACUGGAACUGAGACACGGUCCAGACUCCUACGGGAGGCAGCAGUGGGGAAUAUUGCACAAUGGGCGCAAGCCUGAUGCAGCCAUGCCGCGUGUAUGAAGAAGGCCUUCGGGUUGUAAAGUACUUUCGCUAGGGAAGAUAAUGACGGUACCUAGUAAAGAAGCCCCGGCUAACUCCGUGCCAGCCGCCGCCGUAAGAC
rnacentral:rRNA from 1 species